rnacentral:rRNA from 1 species
AACUUUCACCAACGGACCUUUGGGUUCUCGCAUCAAUAAAAAACGCACCGAACCGCGAUAAGAAAGGGGAAUUGCAAAUUUUCCGGGAAUCACCAAACCUUUAAACGCACCUGGCGCUCCUGGGAUUUCCAAGAAGCAGGCCGGUUUGAGGGUCA